UUGAUUCCUACAACAAACCUAUUAACCCUGUCAUAAAUGAGGAAGGCUAGUAUGGUCACUUCUCCUGUGUUUUCUAAUUAAUGUUGUAAGAUCCCAGCCUCUUCAUUAUCAGACAUUUUACUUUUCAGAGUUGUGUUUUCCGCUUGAAUUAUCAAAUGGCAUACAGUUGAUGAAGUUGAAGGAAGGGAUAUGUUCAGCUUUUACAUCAAUUGGAAGGAAAAUAGAGACCUCGAUCAAGAUAAAGCCCAUUUUCUGCAACUAUGGGCAUAAAGGGUCUUAUUACAACUCAAGAUUGUAGAAAAAAGAACCAAUUGUUCUACCCCAGCCCUUCUCAGCACAACUAUUUUCAGUGACACAGUUGCCCUCUGGUCUGUGUUCCAAUGGGAUAAGAAAACUGAAGUUGGAAGGAUGAAGAACUUCUGCUGGAAAAUAUCAGUGUGGAUUCAAACCCUCUUUUUAAUUUCAUCUCCAAUUUUAUCUUCAUCAGGUUUAACGCUUAGAGUGAGUCCAUGAACCAGAAGCAACAAUAACAGCAGCUUUAAUAUUGUCCAGAAUGUAUCAUACCAAGACCUGCCUCAUAAAUUAGGAAUCAAAACUUCAUGAGUUGAUUGCUCAGUCAAGUUUGAGAUAUACUGGAUUAAAGCAGGGAUUACUGCUUGUUUUUAAAAUAAAGUUUUAUUGGAACAUA